ACGAUGGGCUUCUCUGAACAUAAGACCGUUAAUCACAGCCAGCGGGGCCCCGGGAGAUUCGUCGACGCCGAUGAUCCCGAGGCCCACACUCAGAACAUCGAGUGCAGAAAUCGCUGGCUGAAGAAGUCCAUCAAGUCGCUCCGCACGGACAGGAGCCUGCAGAGCUACAACUGUACGUACGUGUACAGGACGCGGGUCCUGUCCCAGUUGCCAACAACAUCGGCAAAAUUCCGGCAGUUCAUCGGGGACAUCGUGGCCGUCUACCCGGGCCCCGGUCGUCAGGGUCUCCAACUCCGGACGAUCGGUGUGCCCGUGGAUCAACAUCUGCCGCCGGACGAGCCCUAUUUCGAUGUUCCCGUGCACGAGGGCGACGAAGAGGAACGGCAGGGGGAUGACGACCGCCCAACAACAUCGGGCGCCAACA